rnacentral:rRNA from 1 species
UACGGAGGUGGCAAGCGUUACUCGGUUUGACUAGGUAUAAAGGGUUCGUAGGCGGCCUUGUAAGUGGAAGGUGAAAUCUUUUAGCUCAACUAAAAAACUGCCUUUCAAACUGCUUGGCUAGAGGUUGGGAGGGGAGAGCGGAACUGCUAGUGUAAAGGUGAAAUUUGUGGAUAUUAGCAGGAACGCCAGUGGAGAAGUCGGCUCUCUGGUCCAAUCCUGACGCUGAGGAACGAAAGCUAGGGGAG